rnacentral:rRNA from 1 species
CAAUAGCGUAUAUUAAAGUUGUUGCGGUUAAAAAGCUCGUAGUUGGAUUUCUGUUGGGACGACCGUUCCGCCCUCUGGGUGAGUAUCUGGUUCGGCCUUGGCAUCUUCUUGGAGAACGUCGCUGCACUUGAUUGUGUGGCGCGGUAUCCAAGACUUUUACUUUGAGGAAAUCAGAGUGUUUCUAGCAGGCAGCUCGCUCUUGCAUAGGUUAGCAUGGGAUAAUUUAAUAGGACUCUGGUGCUAUUUUGUUGGUUUCGAACACCGGAGUAAUGAUUAAAAGGGGACAGUCAGGGGCGACUCGUAUUCCGUCGAGAGAGGUGAAAUUACUCAGACCAAUGGAAGACGAACCACUGCGAAAGCAUUUGCCAGGGAGUGUUUUCUACUGAUCAAGAACGAAAGUUAAGGGGAGUCGAAGACGAUCAGAUACCAU